AUAAAUCACCGGGGGUGCUGUUAAUAAUGAUAGCUGAGAAAAACCCUUAUAACCUGAUCCGGAUAACGCCGGCGGAGGGAGUGUGUAAAACUGUUAAU
rnacentral:ncRNA from 2 species